rnacentral:rRNA from 1 species
UACGUAGGGGGCUAGCGUUGUCCGGAAUCAUUGGGCGUAAAGAGCGUGUAGGCGGCCCGGUAAGUCCGCUGUGAAAGUCGGGGGCUCAACCCUCGAAUGCCGGUGGAUACUGUCGGGCUAGAGUGCGGAAGAGGCGAGUGGAAUUCCUGGUGUAGCGGUGAAAUGCGCAGAUAUCAGGAGGAACACCGAUUGCGAAGGCGGGUCUCUGGGCCGAUACUGACGCUGAGGAGCGAAAGCGUGGGGAGCGAACAGG